rnacentral:rRNA from 1 species
UACGUAGGGUGCAAGCGUUGUCCGGAAUUAUUGGGCGUAAAGAGCUCGUAGGCGGUCUGUCGCGUCUGCUGUGAAAACUCAGGGCUUAACCCUGAGCUUGCAGUGGGGUACGGGCAGACUAGAGUGCGGUAGGGGAGACUGGAAUUCCUGGGUGUAGCGGUGAAAUGCGCAGAUAUCAGGAGGAACACCGGUGGCGAAGGCGGGUCUCUGGGCCGUAACUGAACGC